AUUGAACGCUGGCGGCAUGCCUAACACAUGCAAGUCGAACGGGCUGUAGCAAUACAGCUAGUGGCGGACGGGUGAGGAAUACAUGGGAACUUGCCUUUAGGUGGGGGAUAGUCCGGGGAAACUCGGUUUAAUACCGCAUGAUGUCGCAAGACCAAAGCAGGGGAUCGCAAGACCUUGCGCCUUUAGAGAGGCCCAUGUCUGAUUAGCUAGUUGGUAGGGUAACGGCCUACCAAGGCGACGAUCAGUAACUGGUCUGAGAGGACGAUCAGUCACACCGGAACUGAGACACGGUCCGGACUCCUACGGGAGGCAGCAGUGGGGAAUAUUGGACAAUAGGCGAAAGCCUGAUCCAGCAAUGCCGCGUGUGUGAAGAAGGCCUUCGGGUUGUAAAGCACUUUGAUCUGGGAAGAAAAAGCUUUGGCUAACAUCCAAAGCCUUGACGGUACCAGAGGAACAAGCACCGGCUAACUCUGUGCCAGCAGCCGCGGUAAUACAGAGGGUGUUAGCGUUAAUCGGAUUUACUGGGCGUAAAGCGUGUGUAGGCGGUUCGCUAAGUCGGAUGUGAAAGCCCUGGGCUCUACCUAGGAAUUGCAUUCGAUACUGGC
rnacentral:rRNA from 1 species